GGUAAAAGUCAUAAAUGGAGAAACAAAAAUGGUCAAAAGUUGAACAACCCCAGACAUCUUAACCAUUGUUCAUCUACAAUAUGCAUUUCACUGUCCUCCACCCCCCUUCACUUGGUGCGCUCCAGAAGGUAUGAUAUUUGCAGAUGAAAAGACUGCCCCCCCGUCUUUUUCUUUUUCUCAGACCCCCCCCUUUUUUUCCUCUUUAUAAAGAUAAGGUGUUUUCCUAAUCAUUAUUUUCCCUUGUAAUAAAUACAUAACAAAGAGAAAAGUGAUUCUUUUUGUGUUAAGAGUGUAUGGUAUAAUAUUUUGUAAUGGUUCCUUUCACUCGUUUAUGAUGGUUGUGUAGGAGAGUUUAUCUGAAAGAUUUAGUUGACAAAGUCGCUUUCUAAUCCCUCACUCUCAUGGCGAAAGCGACUCUUCAUUUCCCCCUUUGUGUAUUUAUACACUCUCUCUCCGUAUUUAGUGCAACUCUCACCCUUUUCUCCCCCUAUAUUCCCCUCAAUUUAUUAAUUAUCUUAUCUCAUUUCCCUUUCCUCUUAAUUUUCUUUGUUUUUUCAUUCACCCAAACGCUCUUUAUCUUCUUCUUCUUCUUCCCCCCUUCCCUAUUUUUAUACUCAUAGUUCUAUUUAUUGCUGUUUAAGUGGGAACACUUGAAAUAAAAUGGGAAAAUGAAAACUUAACAUUAUUGGAGACUUAGGGUUUCACUUUUGAUUAUCUAGCAGAUUAGUACUUUCACAUUUUCUUCUAUUUAUUAUCUCUUAAGUUGUUAUUCAGAUUGAAUUUAACAUGAUUCUGAUUCUGAGCAGUUCCUUGUAUAUGUUGUUGUUGUUGUUCUUCUUCUUCUUCUUCUUAUUUUCUCUCUUUUGCUGUACUCAUUAAAAUGAUAAUUAGAGAUCUUUGACUUUUUGAUUGAUAUUUGCAAUUUUUCUUACUGAUUAUAGGGUUUGUGUUAAGAGUUGACUCUGCUUAGUUAGCAUUUUGUGUUUGUAUAGUGAACUUUUUCUAUAUUUGAAAGUUUUCCAGGGACUUUGCUAUUCUUCUUUAGUGCUUUACAGGUUGAUUAAUUUUUAUUUGUCAAAGAAGCAGCAGCUAUUAUGAGUAUCUUCUCAGGUUUCAGAUGUCAUAUGUGGUAUUAGUGGUGAUGACUUUGGUAUGCUAUCAACAAUGACCAAAAAAGUAUGUUUUAUGUGUUGAUCAAGAAUACAGUACAGAUCAACCUGCUUAGUUGCUGUGGAAGCUCCUUUUCCUCUGUUGAGAUAUGUUUGAAGUCACACAUAUCCCUUGCUCAAUUAAGGCUUCACGUUGUAGAUAGAUGCUUUACACGGCUCUUGCAAACUGAAACAGCUUACUUGAACUAUCUGUUUUGGGGAAUAAGUAUAUACGAACGCAUAUAUAGUUAAUUUUGUAAAUGCUUAUUCAGCCAAAAAAGAAAGUACAUAUAGUAUCACUAGUAUAUCAGUUCUUCAAAUUGAGGUGGAAGUGUUUCUUGGCUUUAGAAUUUUCAAAUAUAUUUGCAUGGCUCUUUCACAGAAUGAAGACAGCAAAACGUGAUGAGCACCAUGUUUUUCUCCCUUUUUCUAGGGCAAGCAUGUAAGGAGGAUGACCUCAUUGAAAUGCUUUGGCUCAAUUUUUAUAUGCAAGUAGUAAGUGGAAAGUACAAGUUUUAUGUUAUAUUUACAUUAAUGAAAUGCUUUAGUCCCUUUCCUUCAACACUUAGUACAAUAAUAUUAAUUUAUUUGUAACUAGGUCAUGCUAUACAAUGUGACAGGGUUAAGUGAUAUAGACUUGUGCCAAUUGAUUUUGCCAAUUAUGGAGGGGGGGACCUCAUGGUUUAAAUCCUGAUUUAGAAAAUCAGCUUUAGUUUGAGAUAAUUUUCCAUCAUUAUAUAUAGUGUUUUAUAAGGUUGUGUCUGGCAUUAUUUGUCUAGGAAGUACCAAUAGAUUCUGUGUGUAGGGUGGUCCCCUGCCCUUUUUACAUGCAAUCUUCAUGCCUUCAUUUACUUUGUUUUGUAUGCAUUCUAAAACUUAUUCUCCAUUAAAUAUGAUGCAUUAUUGAUCAAUCCUGUUCCCAGAGGAAGCCAAGCCUAUUAGGUGUUCUUAAAUUAAUUAACAUUAAUUAAUUAUAUUGUAUUUGGUGAUGAUUCAUUUCCCUAUCAUCAUACUUACUUGGAAGAAGAAAUGUGAGGAACUGAGCACACAAAAGAUAUGGAGAUGGCUGCAGUUAAUGGUGGCAUUCUUUUGAUUUCUUAUGUCCCUGUUUAAUGAUGUCAUUAGCAACAACAAUUUUUUUUAAUAUUUAUUUUUAUUUUUUAUGUUUGUAAAAAGAUUACAGGUUGCCUGAAGAAUUUUGUGGCUAAUCUUGAGAAUGGUAUUCCAUUGGGUGUCUGCUUCAUUGAUUGGUGAAGGUGAAGGUUCAAGUAAGGUUGAGUGGUCCCUCUCUCCAACUCUACUCCGACCCCCAUGUUCUCACCCUGCACUAACUUCAAUGCAAAAUAAAAUCAUUUUCCUAUAAAA